rnacentral:rRNA from 1 species
UACGUAGGGGGCAAGCGUUGUCCGGAUUUACUGGGCGUAAAGAGCGCGUAGGCGGAAGUUUAAGCGUGGCCUGAAAGCCCCCGGCUCAACCGGGGAGUGCGGCUGCGAGCUGGAUUUCUUGAGGACGAUAGAGGAGAGUGGAAUUCCUGGUGUAGCGGUGAAAUGCGUAGAUAUCAGGAGGAACACCCGAGGCGAAGGCGGCUCUCCGGGUCGUACCUGACGCUGAGGCGCGAAAGCGUGGGGAGCGAACGGG